GAACUAAUAGCUUAAUGGCAGAGCAUACAAUUGAUAAUUGUAAAAUCAUAGUUCGAUUCUAUGUUGGUUCA
rnacentral:tRNA from 1 species